AGUGAAUAGAUACCCGGGUAGUCCCAGCUGUAAACGAUGCGCGUUAGGUGUAUCGGUGACCACGAGUCACCGAGGUGCCGAAAGAGAAAUCGUGAAACGUGCCGCCUGGGAAGUACGGUCGCAAGGCUGAAACUUAAAGGAAUUGGCGGGGGAGCACCACAACAGGUGGAGCCUGCGGUUUAAUCGGACUCAACGCCGGGAAGCUCACCGGAUAAGACAGCUGAAUGAUAGCCGGGUUGAAGACUCUGCUUGACUAGCUGAGAGGAGGUGCAUGGCCGUCGUCAGUUCGUACUGUGAAGCAUCCUGUUAAGUCAGGCAACGAGCGAGACCCACGCCAACAGUUGCCAGCAUGUCCUCCGGGAUGGUGGGGACACUGUUGGGACCGCCUCUGCUAAAGAGGAGGAAGGAAUGGGCAACGGUAGGUCAGCAUGCCCCGAAUUAUCCGGGCUACACGCGGGCUACAAUGGUCAGGACAAUGGGUAUCAACACCGAAAGGUGAAGGCAAUCUCCUAAACCUGUCCUUAGUUCGGAUUGU
rnacentral:rRNA from 1 species